rnacentral:rRNA from 1 species
UGCAAGUCGAGGGGUAACAGAGGUAGCUUGCUACUUGCUGACGACCGGCGCACGGGUGCGUAACGCGUAUAGAAUCUACCUUAUACUGAGGGAUAGCCUUUGGAAACGAAGAUUAAUACCUCAUAGUAUAUUUUUUGGGCAUCUAGAAGAUAUUAAAGGUUACGGUAUAAGAUGACUAUGCGUUCUAUUAGCUAGAUGGUGUGGUAACGGCACACCAUGGCAACGAUAGAUAGGGGCCCUGAGAGGGGGAUCCCCCACACUGGUACUGAGACACGGACCAGACUCCUACGGGAGGCAGCAGUGAGGAAUAUUGGACAAUGGAGGCAACUCUGAUCCAGCCAUGCCGCGUGCAGGAAGACUGCCCUAUGGGUUGUAAACUGCUUUUAUACAGGAAGAAACCUUUUCACGUGUGAAAAGCUGACGGUACUGUAAGAAUAAGGAUCGGCUAACUCCGUGCCAGCAGCCGCGGUAAUACGGAGGAUCCAAGCGUUAUCCGGAAUCAUUGGGUUUAAAGGGUCCGUAGGUGGAUAAUUAAGUCAGGGGUGAAAGUCUGCGGCUCAACCGUAGAAUUGCCUUUGAUACUGGUUAUCUUGAAUUAUUGUGAAGUAGUUAGAAUAUGUAGUGUAGCGGUGAAAUGCAUUAC